rnacentral:tRNA from 1 species
AACUUUUUGGCUGAUAGGAAAGCAUGUGUUUUGAAAACACCAAAUAAAUGUUCGAAUCAUUUAAAAGUUU